AUUGAACGCUGGCGGCAUGCUUUACACAUGCGAGUCGAACGGCAGCACGGGCUUCGGCCUGGUGGCGAGUGGCGAACGGGUGAGUAAUAUAUCGGAACGUACCCAGAAGUGGGGGAUAACGUAGCGAAAGUUACGCUAAUACCGCAUACGAUCUAUGGAUGAAAGCAGGGGACCGCAAGGCCUUGUGCUCCUGGAGCGGCCGAUAUCUGAUUAGCUAGUUGGUGAGGUAAAGGCUCACCAAGGCGACGAUCAGUAGCUGGUCUGAGAGGACGACCAGCCACACCGGAACUUAGGCACCGUCCCGACUCCUUACGGAAGCAGCCGUUGGGAAUUUUUGACAAUUGGCGCAAGCCUGAUCCAGCCAUGGCGCGUGAGGUAAGGAGGCCUUCCGGUUUUUAAACCCUUUUGGUAGGGAAGAAACGGUUAGAGCUUAUAACCCUUGGUUAUGACGGUUCCCUAAGAAUAAGCACCGGCUAACUACGUG
rnacentral:rRNA from 1 species